AGAACUGUGAGCCAGAAGAUACUAAAAUGCCAUGCCAAAUAUCCCUGUCCCACCUGACCAAGGAGAAAGAGUAUCUGCUUCAGGUGUCUGAGUGCAUCAACAUCCAUCAUUGUAGGAAAACUCCCACCCAAAAGGAAAGGGAGGACCCUCACUGCUGACAAGGAAGAAAGCAAGGGUAUAAGAACCUUGUGGUGACUGGCUUUCAUCUUGGCCUUUGUGAAGAAAAGCUUUCAGGACUUUGUGGAGCUAGAUAGUGAGAGGCUCUGAAUAUGGACAGAGGCAGAAAGCACAUCCUUGAUGAGACAACAAGCUGCUUCCCAAAUGCUAAGCCUCAACUCUCAAGCACAGAAGACCUCUGAGCUCUGCAAGGUGCUGAGAGAUACCCCUGCACCAGCUCUCCAUCACUAGUUUACAAAGCUGAGGGAAGUCUUACCUGAGGGAAAUGCUGCACAGGGACAGCAUCAAGGUAUUGCAAGGAACAAGUGUUUUGCAAACGGAGAUGUGGAAAAACACUGCUGUGGCUGUGAUGUCUGUCCCUCUGAUACGGAUGGCUCUACAAGGGAUGUCCUUGUGCAUGUGUGUGUCUCCAUUGGAGAAGCAAAGGGACAAAAAAAACUCUUUUAUCCUGCACAUGGUGCCUUUUGAUUCCAGACAUAAAGCAAGAACAUCAUCUUCUGGUGUUGGGCCCUUCUGAAUUAUGGAUUUCAACCUCUGCUGAGCUUUCUUGGUAGCACCAAGAACAUUUUGGUGAGGUCAGUGCUCCUGUUGCUGCUGACAGACAUAGGGGUCAUGGAGGUGGUCUUGCAGUGUGCAAAUCAGCCUUAGCGGUGUCUCAUUAAUUUCCACUGCUAAAUAGGAUUGGGGCCUGGGAGUCUGCAGCCUUGGCUCUUCCCUUCUUUGCACCAUGCUGGUCAGGAGCCACUUCACUGGAGUUACUGGUGACACCAACUUAAUAGUCACCCUGAGGGGAAAAUCUGGCCUUGUGAUUACUUUUCCUUAUUGAAUUCUUGAUUACUGGGUCAGGGAAUAUUUUGCAUCCCCAGGACCAGGGUGGUGCAUGGCAGAUCACUUGUGCCCCUCUAUCUGCCAGCCCAACUGAGGGAAGACACUGAAACCCCAAACUAAUUCUGCCUAUCUGGAAGAGCAGCUCCCUGCCAAUGAGAUUAAAAUAUCACUGGCACUACAUGUUCAUCCCUAGCAUAUUUCUUUUCUACCAGAAAAAUAUUCCCCUCUUGCCCUCUCAUCUCCUGGCUUCUCCUUUUUCCAGUCCCAUUACUGCUGGGAACACAGAAGCCCUGGCUGAGCCACCUCUGUGUCCUGCCAUUCCAACUUUGCACCAUUUUUCUGGGAGGUCUUAGCACUGAUUAGAAGUGAUAUAUCUUUGUAAAGGAGUGCCACGGGGCUGCAAAGAGUCUGGCAUGCUGCAGGGGGGCUGUGGUGGGUGCCACCCAUGGAGGAUGCUGGCAGCACCCCACCAUGCCUGCAUGGAUGGGUGAAGCCUCAUGCAUGGCUACAAGGCUGUUUGGAAACCACAUGAAGUGCAAAAUAAGACCCUUUUCCACUCCCUUCAUGGGCUAGAGACAGACAAGCUGCUUUCUGGUAUCCAUCAAGGCUGCCUCGUGCUGGUGCUGUGUGAACCAGAGAUGAACACGUUUUGGGGACAACCUCUGCACAUCAGCAUGACAGAACUGUCAGAGUAGUUUGCAGGAAGAGGAGCUUGGCCAAGGGGUGUUUGAUUUGUGCUAGCAAGAAGCGGAAGAUAUCGGUGCCUUCACAAAGCAGAAGAGAGGGCAGCACGUGGGCAACUUGAAAACAUAGGAUUCCAGAGAUAGUCUGAACUGGGAAUUAAACUUUUGAAAUCCUUUUUUCCCCUUCAGCCAUUCCCUCACUAACACAUUGACCCCAAAACACUGGCAAUACUCGAAAGGGUUGGCACAGCAGCACUUGAACACAACAAUCUGUUAUUUCAAAUUUAUGCCUUAGAGCAGCAAAGAUUCAGCAAAGCUUUUGAAGCAUCACAUAGACUUUUUCUCAAAUCUCUUUCUUCUGUUGGGAGGCUCUUGGGUGGGAGGGGGAGGCAAUAAUAAGGGUGGCUCACUUAGAUGCCAAGAGAGGCAGAUGCAUCAAUGCAGUUGGCAGAGUUUCUCUCCACUGUAAAAGGAAACUGCCCAAUGGAUGCAACACCAUCAUAGUGGUACAGAACAUUAGCCUUAUAGUGAUUGUGUAUUGUUAUGCGUUAAUAGCAUUAUCCCAAGGGCAGUGUUAAACAUAAAUAUAUGCAAGUAACUUGAGGUGACUCCUGUCACUGUCAGCAGCUGAGGGUAAAAUGUUUUAACCUGCAAGCGUAAGUUUGCAACCCUGGAAAACAGUGACCAGGAUAAUGCUCUGGUAUGCUUCCACAAUGGCAAGGGGGUCAAACAUUCAGAGUGAGAUUCAAAGAUGUAGGUACAACAACCUCAGACAUCAGCUUAAGUUCUCCCCUGGAGUUUCCUAACGUUAUCUCUCCUGGAUGCUAACCUCAGCCGCUGCAUAUUUGCAUUUCUCUCAGUAUCUAGAGAAGUGGCCUGAGAAAUGAGGG